GCAGGAGAGAAAAGUGGAAUCUUGUCUUGCAUUAUGCCCUGUUACAUCUAGGCUAGAUAAUCUUUGAUACUUUGCUUAUGUUAGGACAUUUAUGUUAAUUAGAAUCAGUGUAAUGUCAAUAAUCAACAAUCACACAAUUUCAGUGAGUCUACAUGCCUGGUGACUGGCUGCCGGCCCUCAUCUACUGGCUCUGACGGCCUUCAUCUCUCCACAUCUGUACUGUACUCUGCUGUCCCUGCUCUCUCGAAGUGAGUCUACACGCCUGGUGACUGGCUGCCGGCCCUCAUCUACUAGAUCUGACGGCCUUCAUCUCUCCACAACUGUACUGUACUCUGCUGUCCCUGCCGUCUUGAAGGUUGGUCAACACACACAUACAGUGUCAGUUACAAAUACACAAUUCCUUAUGGACCCGCCCGCUGAAUCUUUGCUCAUAUUCAGCCCAAUUAUGACCUCAGUAUUUCUAAAAUCCUGGUUACGGCUUUGUGCAGUAUGUUUGCAUUAUCUUACUAGAAGCCCUGGCUGUCACGUCUAUC
rnacentral:lncRNA from 1 species